GACGAACGCUGGCGGCGUGCUUAACACAUGCAAGUCGAACGGUGAAGCGCCUUCCUUUUUGGUGGGUGUGGAUGAGUGGCGAACGGGUGAGUAACACGUGAGUAACCUGCCCCCUUCUUCUGGAUAACCGCAUGAAAGUGUGGCUAAUACGGGAUAUUCUGGGUCUGUCGCAUGAUGGGUCUGGGAAAGAUAUUGUUUCGGUGGGGGAUGGGCUCGCGGCCUAUCAGCUUGUUGGUGGGGUGAUGGCCUACCAAGGCGGUGACGGGUAGCCGGCCUGAGAGGGUGGACGGUCACACUGGGACUGAGACACGGCCAAGACUCCUACGGGAGGCAGCAGUGGAGAAUAGUGCACAAUGGGCGCAAGCCUGAUGCAGCGCCGCCGCGUGAGGGAUGGAGGCCUGCGGGUUGUGAACCUCUUUCGCCAGUGAAGCAGGCCUGCCUCGUUUGUGGGUGGGUUGACGGUAGCUGGAGAAGAAGCGCCGGCUAACUACGUG
rnacentral:rRNA from 1 species